AGCAGCCGCGGUAAUUCCAGCUCCAAUAGCGUAUAUUAAAGUUGUUGCAGUUAAAAAGCUCGUAGUUGAAUUUCGGGAUCAAUAUGUUGGUCGUGCCUUGGUACGUACUGGCAUUAUUGGUUUCUACCUUCUGAAGAACCUCGAUGUCAUUAAUUUGGUGUCUUGGGGAAUCAGGACUGUUACUUUGAAAAAAUUAGAGUGUUUAAAGCAGGCUCGCGCUUGAAUACAUUAGCAUGGAAUAAUGAAAUAGGACGUUUGAUUCUAUUUUGUUGGUUUCUAGGAUCGACGUAAUGAUUAAUAGGGAUAGUUGGGGGCAUUAGUAUUCAAUUGUCAGAGGUGAAAUUCUUGGAUUUAUUGAAGACUAACUACUGCGAAAGCAUUUGCCAAGGAUGUUUUCAUUAAUCAAGAACGAAAGUUAGGGGAUCGAAGACGAUCAGAUACCGUCGUAGUCUUAACCAUAAACUAUGCCGACUAGGGAUCGGAUGAUGUUAAUUUUUUAAUGUACUCAUUCGGCGCCUUA
rnacentral:misc_RNA from 1 species